rnacentral:rRNA from 1 species
AGCGAACGCUGGCGGCAGGCCUAACACAUGCAAGUCGAACGAACUCUUCGGAGUUAGUGGCGGACGGGUGAGUAACACGUGGGAACGUGCCUUUAGGUUCGGAAUAACUCAGGGAAACUUGUGCUAAUACCGAAUGUGCCCUUCGGGGGAAAGAUUUAUCGCCUUUAGAGCGGCCCGCGUCUGAUUAGCUAGUUGGUGAGGUAAAGGCUCACCAAGGCGACGAUCAGUAGCUGGUCUGAGAGGAUGAUCAGCCACAUUGGGACUGAGACACGGCCCAAACUCCUACGGGAGGCAGCAGUGGGGAAUCUUGCGCAAUGGGCGAAAGCCUGACGCAGCCAUGCCGCGGGAAUGAUGAAGGUCUUAGGAUUGUAAAAUUCUUUCACCGGGGACGAUAAUGACGGUACCCGGAGAAGAAGCCCCGGCUAACUUCGU